rnacentral:rRNA from 1 species
AUUGAACGCUGGCGGCAGGCUUAACACAUGCAAGUCGAGCGGUAACAGAGAGAAGCUCGCUUCUCUGCUGACGAGCGGCGGACGGGUGAGUAAUGCCUAGGAAUCUGCCUAGUAGUGGGGGAUAACUUGCCGAAAGGUAAGCUAAUACCGCAUACGUCCUACGGGAGAAAGGAGGGGACCUUCGGGCCUUUCGCUAUUAGAUGAGCCUAGGUCGGAUUAGUUAGUUGGUGAGGUAAUGGCUCACCAAGACCGCGAUCCGUAACUGGUCUGAGAGGAUGAUCAGUCACACUGGAACUGAGACACGGUCCAGACUCCUACGGGAGGCAGCAGUGGGGAAUAUUGGACAAUGGGGGGGAACCCUGAUCCAGCCAUGCCGCGUGUGUGAAGAAGGUCUUAGGAUUGUAAAGCACUUUAAGUUGGGAGGAAGAGCAGUUAACUAAUAUUUGACUGUUUUGACGUUACCGACAGAAUAAGCACCGGCUAACUUCGUG